UCACGGCUACCAGCCGGCAAUACGGCUAUCAGCCGGGCGUGUCUGUAGUAUACUGAUAGCCGUAUUGCCGGCUGGUACCCGCGAUGUA